rnacentral:rRNA from 1 species
AUUGAACGCUGGCGGCAGGCCUAACACAUGCAAGUCGAACGAGUGGCGGACGGGUGAGUCAUGUCUGGGAAACUGCCUGAUGGAGGGGGAUAACUACUGGAAACGGUAGCUAAUACCGCAUACCAUCAGAUGUGCCCAGAUGGGAUUGGCUAGUUGGUGGGGUAACGGCUCACCAGGUCGACGAUCCCUAGCUGGUCUGAGAGGAUGAACAGACACACUGGAACUGAGACACGGUCCAGACUCCUACGGUAGGCAGCAGUGGGGAGUAUGGCACAAUGGGCGCAAGCCUGAUGCAGCUAGGCCGCGUGUAUGAAGAAGGCCUUCGGGUUGUAAAGUACUUUUAGCGGGGAGGCGUUACCCGAAGAAGAAGCACCGGCUAACGCCGUGCCAGCAGCCGCGGUAAUUC